rnacentral:lncRNA from 1 species
UGGCUUAUAUAAGAAGAGGUAUGGACAAAGAAAAAAUAAUCAAUCAAAGGCUUGGCAUGGAGAUCCCUUGGUGUAGACGUCACCUCUCUCUUGGGCGUCACCUAGCACUGGGCGUGUCUCUCCUCUUGGUGUCCUUCCUCCUUUUAUGGCGGUGUGUGGAUAGUUCCAAGAACUUGAGAUUAGAUCUCAAGUAUUCCUCUCCUUUCUCUCUGAAGAAAGAGUUCAUCUCUCUCUCUUACAGCGUUCGAUG